rnacentral:misc_RNA from 1 species
CCUCCUUAAAAUAAAAAUCGUCUGAGGUAGGCGUUCACACGAAUUAUUUGUUUUACCCAAAUUAGUUUUUUACUAAGAGUACGGUGAGUUUUUUAACAUUUUUAUAAGUUCAAUCAAGUCGCAUUAAUUAAAUCAUUUAUGUGGUUUAAAUUAAUGUGCAAAUGCCACCAAAUCCGUCGUGUUUUUAUAAAUACAUUUAUUUGGUGAACAUACUGCAAAGUAAUUUUGGCGUUAUGUAAUAUAGAUAUACUUGAAAGAUCUUUAUAUCAGGCAUUAAAUUGCUUGAUGUAAUAUGGUCAAGUAACUAAGCGCAUACGGUGGAUGC